AUUAAUAAGCGGAGGAAAAGAAACCAACCGGGAUUCCCUGAGUAAGGGCGACUGAAACGGGAGGAGCCCAGCGCAUAACCUCGCGGUCCUUUGCCGGCCGACGAGGGGUGUUGCGUUUCGGUGGAUCCAUCCCGCUCGGACCGUUUACCGCCUAAGUCAUUGCUUGAAAGCAGCCCCAAGGAGGGUGAUAGGCCCGUGUGGCGGCGCCUGUAAAAAGGGUAAAGGCGGUCCGGGCGGAGGGGUCUUCACCGCAGAGUCGGGUUGCUUAGUACUGCAGCCCUAAGCAGGUGGUAAACUCCAUCUAAGGCUAAAUACUACCACGAGUCCGAUAGAAAACAAGUACCGUGAGGGAAAGUU
rnacentral:rRNA from 2 species